rnacentral:lncRNA from 1 species
UUUUUUUUUUAUUUUUGCACAUUCUUGUGACAUUUCCCAUUGUAGGGAACAGGAGUUUAGCAAAAUCAGCUUCUUAGAUGAUGUCAUUCUAAAUAUACAUCUUAAACAAACAAUAUCAAAACCACCAGUAGGAAACUGAAAAACACUCAGUGAGUACUGUUUUGUCUCAGUAACAAUAAAUACAAAAAGACUGGUUGUGUUCCGGCCCCAUCCAACCACGAAGUUGAUUUCUCUUGUGUGCAGAGUGACUGAUUUUAAAGGACAUGGAG